rnacentral:rRNA from 1 species
UGGGGAAUUUUGGACAAUGGGCGAAAGCCUGAUCCAGCAAUGCCGCGUGUGUGAAGAAGGCCUUCGGGUUGUAAAGCACUUUUGUCCGGAAAGAAAUCCUUGGCUCUAAUACAGUCGGGGGAUGACGGUACCGGAAGAAUAAGCACCGGCUAACUACGUGCCAGCAGCCGCGGUAAUACGUAGGGUGCAAGCGUUAAUCGGAAUUACUGGGCGUAAAGCGUGCGCAGGCGGUUUGCUAAGACCGAUGUGAAAUCCCCGGGCUCAACCUGGGAACUGCAUUGGUGACUGGCAGGCUAGAGUAUGGCAGAGGGGGGUAGAAUUCCACGUGUAGCAGUGAAAUGCGUAGAGAUGUGGAGGAAUACCGAUGGCGAAGGCAGCCCCCUGGGCCAAUACUGACGCUCAUGCACGAAAGCGUGGGGAGCAAACAGGAUUAGAUACCCUGGUAGUCCACGCCCUAAAACGAUGUCAACUAGUUGUUGGGGAUUCAUUUCCUUAGUAACGUAGCUAACGCGUGAAGUUGACCGCCUGGGGAGUACGGCCGCAAGAUUAAAACUCAAAUGAAUUGACGGGGUCAUAGCUGUUUCCU